GGGGUGAGAUCGGAUCCUGGGCUGUGUCCCCCCAUGCCCAGGGCUCCUGGGCCUGUGCUUUUGGAUUCGCGCUCCCGGCCGCCAGCCU
rnacentral:pre_miRNA from 1 species